AUUCGUUUUUCACAAUUUAUGAUGAUUUUUCAAAGUUAGCCUAUUGCUGCUAUCCAAACAGCAAUUAAUUUUGACUUUUCGCCGAAUCCCUUAUUUUUGUGUUUCAGGUACACACAUAGUUUUGUUUAAUGCUAAAACAGUCUCCGAGCACUCCAAAACCUAUAAUUGAACAAAUAACACCAUAAUCAGUCUUACCUCGCGAUUAAUCAAAAUCCUGAAACCAAAAUACUUACCCAUAAAAUGAUGAAUAUUUACCUUAAAAACUUCAAAUCGGUACGUUUACGAAAAUCACGAGAGCCUUAAUCCUCGCGAAAUGUUGCUGCCAACACCCCGAAAUUAGACUUUUGAACACAAAAUAAUCUCUUAAAAUGAUACCUAACAACUUAUUAAAUUUGCAAAAGUGCUGUUUAACGCUACAAAAUUAAGAGGGAAGAAUGAAUUAGGGGGAACAAGGGAAU
rnacentral:lncRNA from 1 species